CCGGCUUGCCGAGGGACACGUGGACCUGAGUGGGGCGGGGCCGAGCGCUUCCUCAUUGCUCAGGAAGUGUUCGGGUAGGCCGAGCUAGGUUGGCGUGUCUGUCCAGGCCGGGUCCACCAUGUCGAAGGUUUCCUUUAAGAUCACGCUGACGUCGGACCCGCGGCUGCCUUACAAAGUACUCAGUGUUCCUGAAAGUACACCUUUCACAGCAGUCUUAAAGUUUGCAGCUGAAGAAUUUAAAGUUCCUGCAGCAACAAGUGCAAUUAUUACCAAUGAUGGAAUAGGAAUAAAUCCUGCACAGACUGCUGUGGAAAGCCUGGAAGUUCCAAGCUAUGAGGCCUUGAAAAACUUAUAUAUGAGAGAAAAAUAAACCCACAAUGAACAGCUACAGUGCUGCCAGACUGUUUUCCAAAGUGGCUACAAUAUUCUGCAUCCACAUUAGCAAUAUGUCAGAGUUUCAACUUAUUGUCAACACUUGUUAUUGGACAUCUUUUUGUUUAUAACCAAUCUCUUAGGAUGGAUUGGGGACAAGAAUGGCAAUGAAGUCUCAAGGAAAGCAGGGAGGAUGUUGUCAGACUACAGAUGUACUAGAUUCUUUGAUACUCUGGAUGGCAUCUAACUACAAGUAGAAGCAACAUACAAACUAUGCAGCUCCUACCUGAUUCUCUCAGUAUGCUCACUCUCCAGAUUCUCCUAGGAAGUACUUCUCAGAACCCCAGGAUCACACAGUAAGAAGCCCAAACUCAUCUAAAAAUUAAUGUGGAACGAACUCAGGACCUUGCACUUGCAAGGCAGGCAGUGGAACCACUGAGCUAAAUCCCCCACCUAUGUCAAAUUUUUAAAGCACAAUCAGAGAGAAAUUUCCAGACUUCAAUACUGGAGGAAAAAAAUUUUAUUCAUCGUUUCAAUUAUUUCAAGCUAGCCAAACUGAAAAUCAACCUGACACAUCACCAGUCCUGAGUCGCCACCGUUGAUAGCACACCAGCGCCCUCUAUUGCACACAUAGGAUAAUGAAUGUGUUCUACAAUGCCACGUUUUGUCUUUAAAUUCUGCUGUUUAUCGUGAAGAAUAUGGUAUUCUUUUGGAGAUUACUUUAUAGAAUAAGCUGAAAUCACACGGUAUUUGUGGAGUAAAUAAAAUGUGUGUAUAAGUGAAAAUAGAUGUAAAAAUUAUGGCCAUUUUAUAUCUACAUACUAUUUGAUCUAAUCACCUGUAAGGUAAUAGGAUGAGGAAAUUUUGGAAAGGAGAAGCGCUUUCAAAUCGUGUCUGAUCUUGCUAAACAGACACGCUGAAAGUAAGAAAUUAUCCACUCUAUCAACACGUUUUGAGCACCCCUAUCUGUAAGACAAGCUGACCGUGUGGAUACAAAGAUAGCUCAGGGAUAGGUUUGUGCUAGAGCUCUGAACUAUGGUUAUGAGGAAAUGUUUAUGAAGUAUUUCUAGUACUGAGUAAGCAAAAUAAAGACGCAGCUUAAUUUUUAAAUAUCCAGUGCUGUAAUUCCAGGUAUUGUGUGAAAUUUAAUAUUUUUUGUAAGUAAGAGAAGGGAACCAUGAUUCAAACCAAAGUCUCUAGAGCGCAGUGUUUACAACCAUAUGUAUGUUUUCUUUGGUAUCUUAAAUGUUUUUGGGCCCCCUUACCUAUCUAUAAAUUAUGUGUCACUUGAUAAUAAAACUACUACUCUUAGUGCUUGUGAUAUGCCUUAGGUAUCCCUAAAUUUCGAAGGGCUUAGAAUAGGUUAUAUAAUUUAAUCUCCACAACAACUUUUUCAGGCACUGAUUUUUUCCCUUAUUUUACUGAUGAAGAGAAAGAGGUCCAAGGAACUUAAACACUCAAACAUCACAGACACUGGUAUAAGUGAGAGUCAGGGUUCCAUCUCAGGAUAUCUAAUACUAGAAUUCUUCCUCAGCGCAGGCUUGCUCGCUCCCUCUCACACACACACACACACACACACACACACACACAUCACAGGACACUCUCAUGGAAAAUGUAUUUCAUUACAGUGCUGGGAGGAUAUAAAAUACUUCUGAGUAGCUUUUAGACUUUUAGAAUACCAGAUAGACUCGAUACAUAGAAAGAGGAUUAUCUAUGGAUAAAGUCUUGUUUUAAUGACCCAAACUGAUUAGUUUGUAACUUACAGCCAGUGAAAUGAUUCUCUGAUAAUGUAAUUUUCACUACAGCAACACAUAUGUUGUUGCUUAUGAUAGUUCCAAUGUCUCUUCUCUCAGUAUUAACCAUGAAGCCCCACAUUUUAUAGAUGUUUUCUUACCCCUAGGCAUAUACAUCUCUAACAUAAACUAAACAGUUGAUAUUCUUUUAAAAAGGGAAGAUCAUUUGAAUAAUUGUUGUAAUAAGUCAGAAACUAAUUCAGCAUCAGUACAGAGGGACAUACUCUGGCUUAUCAAUAUUCUUACAAACAAAUUCUGUAUUAUUCACGUGCUCAUUCAUUUAGGUCUUAUAUUCCUUUAACUUAUUAAUUCUUCUUCAGUUCUCCCUGCAGUUUCAUACACAUGUUGGAUUUUAUUUUAGGAAUCAGUAACAUAUAAUAAUACUAAUUUUGAAACACAAACAUUAAUGACACAGAGUCAAAAUAAUAAUUAUCAGAAAAUCAUCAAAGAGAUGCUGAAUUUAAUGACAAAUAUGUCAGUUUUAAUAAAACCAAGUUGCUUCCCAAGCAAUUGUCUCUCCUACUUCAUUAAAAGCCAAAAGCUUGGGACCUAAGGCCAAUUAAAAAUUCAUGUAUGCAUAUAUUUGUAACAUGGUUUAUAUAAGGAAUCUCAAUAACAAUUUGAUUGUUACGUCAGUAUUACACUAUUUUAAUUAGGCAGCUAAAAAGGUACAAAUAGGAGGAAAAUAUAAUAAUAUCAAAGCAUAUUUGUCAUUAUCUUCAAAGAUUAAGAUUAAUCAAGUAGCAAUAAUUUUUAUAAUGUCAUUUGUCUGAAAUCAUUAAUAGAUAUUCUAAACAUGAAUUGUCAUAGUGAUGGAAAAAGAAAUAUUUCUGGACUUAAAUAUAAAUGCAAUUAUAAUUUUUAUCCUUAGUUUCUUUUUUUUUGUUCUUUUUGGUACCAGGGAUAGAACUCGGGACCUUGCACUUGCAAGGCAGGUGCCAGAACCACUGAGCUAAAUCCCUGGGGCUUUAUUCUUAGUUUCAAUUCUGAAAAAGGGAAAAAUGUAUGUAAGCUAUGAUGAUGUAUUAUCUUACUCAUGUUUUAAAUCACACCUACAUGUUCAAUCUAAAUCAGCCUAAUCAAAAUCGUUUGUUACUAUUCACUGUGCAGAUCAAGAGUUGUUAGUGCUGCACUAAUCAAUAAAUUUUAUGCAAAGAUUUUGAAACUGGAAGUAUGCUAAGCCUCAUCCACCUUUAGAGAAAACUUCUGGAGGCUCUAUGGUGUCACAGCAUUCCACAGAAAUGUCACAGCUGAAUUAAUUAGUCAGUUACAUGGUUUGACUUCAGCAUUCAAAAUAAAGGACUGGUAUGAUUCUAUUUAUGUCAUACUUUAAAAAAAGAAAAUUAGGCAGCCUUUUCUGACAUUAUUUGGGAAAAAUAAUAUGUUGCAGAAAAUGCAGUUGACUGAUUAAUACCGAGUUAGGGAAGAAAUUGAGUCUGGGAUAUAGAGAGAGGAAUGAGGAAGCAUUAGGGAGAAGCAUGUAAAGGACACUGACACUGACACUGUUUUCUCAAUUGUUACUUUUAGUUUGGGUCAUAGGAGCUUUUAUUUCAUCAUAAUUCUUUAAAUGGUACUCGAUAUCUUACCGAGUGUAAUGUUGAAGAAGUCUUGCUCCUGCUUCCAUACCCAUCUUAAUCAUUAUGUCCCUCUCAUUCUCACCAAGGUCAGUGGAUCUGUCCUCUGAGCUCCUCCAGCCUUUGUCAGGACCUGCUGCAGCUCCCAUCUUAUCUCAUGAUUAUUUUCUAUUCCCCUCAAAUUACUAGACUCUGAGCUCUUUGACGGAGGAGAUCUUUCUCAUUUUGUUUUCUCCAGUGCCCAGCACACUGUGCCUGAUGCAGAGUAGAUGCUCAAGGAAUCAGUGUAAGGCAGGAUAAGCUCAAGUUACCAAAAAUCUGAGAUAUAUACCAGUAACUUUAAUGCAAGGGAUACACAGUGAGAAUAAAGUGUUAAAAUAAAAUAUUACAGAAACUCCAAAGAAAGAGAAAUAAAUGUUACUCCAUUAGCACACAAUGAUAUACCAAGAUUUUUCCUGUGUUGAGACACUUUCAUAAAGGACCAAGGACCAAGGGACCAAGAAGAGUAUGAGAGGCAAUUCUUGCCUUGCUUGAUAGUAUUCAAUGAAGACAUGAAAUUGAAAGGCUUAUGGAAAUCUAGAGAUGGGG